CAGCAGCCGCGGUAAUACCGAGGGUGCGAGCGUUAAUCGGAUUUACUGGGCGUAAAGCGUGCGUAGGCGGCUAAUUGAGUCGGAUGUGAAAUCCCCGAGCUUAACUUGGGAAUUGCAUUCGAUACUGGUUAGCUAGAGUGUGGGAGAGGAUGGUAGAAUUCCAGGUGUAGCGGUGAAAUGCGUAGAGAUCUGGAGGAAUACCGAUGGCGAAGGCAGCCAUCUGGCCUAACACUGACGCUGAGGUACGAAAGCAUGGGGAGCAAACAGGAUUAGAUACCCCCGUAGUCCCUGUCUCUUAUAC
rnacentral:rRNA from 1 species